GUGGGGGAUAUUGCACAAUGGAGGAAACUCUGAUGCAGCGACGCCGCGUGAGUGAAGAAGUAUUUCGGUAUGUAAAGCUCUAUCAGCAGGGAAGAUAAUGACAGUACCUGACUAAGAAGCCCCGGCUAACUACGUGCCAGCAGCCGCGGUAAUACGUAGGGGGCAAGCGUUAUCCGGAUUUACUGGGUGUAAAGGGAGCGUAGACGGAAUGGCAAGUCUGAAGUGAAAUCCUGCGGCUUAACUGCAGAAUUGCUUUGGAAACUGUCAAUCUGGAGUGUUGGAGAGGUAAGCGGAAUUCCUGGUGUAGCGGUGAAAUGCGUAGAUAUCAGGAAGAACACCGGAGGCGAAGGCGGCUUAGUGGACAAUAACUGACGUUGAGGCUCGAAAGCGUGGGAAGCAAACAGGAUUAGAAACCCUGGUAGUCC
rnacentral:rRNA from 1 species